rnacentral:rRNA from 1 species
CUAUGCGCCUGCCAGCCCGCUCAGAAACUCAAAGGAAUUGACGGGGGCCCGCACAAGCGGUGGAGUAUGUGGUUUAAUUCGAUGCAACGCGAAGAACUACCUAGGUUUGACAUCCCUCGAACCCUCCUGAAAGGGAGGGGUGCCCUUCGGGGAGCGGGUGACAGGUGCUGCAUGGCUGUCGUCAGCUCGUGCCGUGAGGUGUUGGGUUAAGUCCCGCAACGAGCGCAACCCUUGUCCUUAGUUGCCAGCGAGUAAUGUCGGGCACUCUAGGGAGACCGCCUCGGUCAACGGGGAGGAAGGUGGGGACGACGUCAAGUCAUCAUGGCCCUUACGCCUAGGGCUACACACGUACUACAAUGGCGGAUACAAAGGGUAGCGAAGCCGCAAGGUGAAGCCAAUCUCAAAAAAUCCGUCCCAGUCCGGAUCGGGGUCUGCAACUCGACCCCGUGAAGUCGGAAUCGCUAGUAAUCGUGAAUCAGAAUGUCACGGUGAAUACGUUCCCGGGCCUU